AUUGAACGCUGGCGGCAGGCCUAACACAUGCAAGUCGAACGGUAGCACAGAGGAGCUUGCUCCUCGGGUGACGAGUGGCGGACGGGUGAGUAAUGUCUGGGGAUCUGCCCGAUAGAGGGGGAUAACCACUGGAACCGGUGGCUAAUACCGCAUAACGUCGCAAGACCAAAGAGGGGGACCUUCGGGCCUCUCACUAUCGGAUGAACCCAGAUGGGAUUAGCUAGUAGGCGGGGCAACGGCCCACCUAGGCGACGAUCCCUAGCUGGUCUGAGAGGAUGACCAGCCACACUGGAACUGAGGCACGGUCCAGACUCCUACGGGAGGCAGCAGUGGGGAAUAUUGCACAAUGGCGCAAGCCUGAUGCAGCCAUGCCGCGUGUAUGAAGAAGGCCUUCGGGUUGUAAAGUACUUUCAGCGGGGAGGAAGGCGAUGUGGUUAAUAACCGCAUUGAUUGACGUUACCCGCAGAAGAAGCACCGGCUAACUCCGUGCCAGCCGCCGCCGCAG
rnacentral:rRNA from 1 species